rnacentral:misc_RNA from 1 species
GAGGACUACUGGGGUAUCUAAUCCUGUUUGAUCCCCAUGCUUUCGAGCCUCAGCGUCAAUAUACAGCCAGAUAGUCGCCUUCGCCACUGGUGUUCUACCCAAUAUCUACGAAUUUCACCUCUACACUGGGUAUUCCACUAUCCUCUCUGUAAUUCUAGCCACAUAGUCAUAAUGGCAAUUCCAAAGUUAAGCUCUGGGAUUUCACCACUAUCUUACAUAACCGCCUACACUCCCUUUACGCCCAGUAAUUCCGAACAACGCUUGCCCCCUUCGUAUUACCGCGGCUGCUGGCACGAAGUUAGCCGGGGCUUCUUUAGGUGCUACCGUCAUCAUCGUCACACCCGAAAGAGCUUUACAAUCCGAAAACCUUCUUCACUCACGCGGCAUGGCUGGGUCAGAG